GCACAUACUAAAAAUUACCCUAUUUUACCCAAGUAUCAAUACAUAGAUAUUGUAGAGUAACUAGUCUAGAUUUCAAAAAUAUAAUUUUUUUGUAGUGACAGACAAAAAUAACUGCGCAUAAGGCUAAUAAGAUUAAACCAAUUCGUACAUUUUUUAUUUACAAUUAGCUUUCAUUUAUUUCAAUUUCUGAUAUUGAACUGUUUAGGUUAUUUAUUUGAUUUUCGACGUUCGAUUCGGAAUUGACAAAUAAAUUCUACACAUUAAUAGAAAAUUUAUUUAUAUUUUUUUUGGAAAAUAAAAGCAUUGAAGAUAUAUAUUGAUGUAUAAGUAGAGAAAUUGAACCAAAAAAUAAAUAUAUGUGCACUAUUUUUAACAAAUGCUACAAUGCUAUUGAAAAUAAGAAACGGUCAGGUGUAUCAGUGGAAAAUAUUCCAGACCUAACGUAUGAUAUUACAACGAACUGCUGUGUAUCAAGGACCAAGUCGAGAUAGCAGAAACUCAAACUUCCGAGAUUACAUAAUUUGAUUGAUGACCUACAGACACUGUCUAAUGACCAGCCAAUCUCUCUACCUUUAAAGAAAAAAUACAUCUUCAAAGGAUUCGACAGAUGAGCAAGUUGGUUUAGCUAUUUUAAAAAACCUGAAGCUGAAUCGGACUUCGUUGCUAAGGGAAGGUCUCUAAAGUUAAGCAGACUAAAUCCAGAUCAAAGGUGUUUUGCGGAAAAGAUAAUUAAUGAUACUUUGUUUGAAGCAGAAAUGGGCACAUUAACGAGGCAUAAAGUGAGUUUCUUAACGUCUUCACAAUCUGUAUUGACACCUUCGUCGUUCCCGACAACUUCGAACUUUAGAUCCCCCUACUAUUCGUCAAGCUGUGUAUCAUCAUCUCCAUCACCCACAUCUUUACUAUAUUCAAGAACAAGAAUAACACUUCGAGACUUCGAAGAAGACUUCGAGACCACGACGUUUAUAAGACUCCGUUAAGAUUUUGUAGUGCGCUUCGUCCGCUUUAUCUGUGAAUUUGAUAAUUGUUUAUACCUAAUUUUACAAAUCUGGCUUAUUUUUGUCACUAUUUAGACAAUAAAAGGUAAUUUCUUUCAGUAGAUUAAUUUUUAAACUAUCCCUGAGUAUAUAUGGUCAUCUAUCAUUACAUUUUAUUUCUAAUAAAAUUAUUGAAUUUUAAGUUUUCGGGCUUGUGUGCAUCUUAUGACCUGCACAUGUGAGACCCUUACUAUUUAUCGGAAACAAGGCACCACUCCUUCUACCAUUGCUCGAAUGUUGUCCCGUUACAACAUAUUAUUCAAUGUAUAUUUUUUUGUUAUUUUCUACUAGAUGUGCAUAUUUAUGAUAUCUAUUUAUCUUAAAUCCCAACCAUGAUAAACAUAAAUAAUUAUGUUUGAAAAAUUGUAAUUAUUCUAAUACAAAUUUAUAAUUUUAAAGUUCAGAAUAGCAGGUUGUAGUUUAAAAAGCAGUUGAAUUUUUU